GGCUGGAUCACGGGGGUGGGGCCUGACGGGAGGUGGCUGGAUCACGGGGGUGGACUUCUCAUGUUUUAGUACCAUCCCCUUGGUGCUUCCUCGUGAUAGCAAAGGGGCGAUGGAUCCUGCUUCUCGGGUCUGUAUGAGAUGAGAUGAAAUGACAAUUCCUAAUAUGGAUGAGGAAGUGGAGCAACAGAGACUCCCAGGCUGCCAGUGGAGCUGCUGUGGAGAAUGGUUUGGCAAUAUUUAAUGCAUGCCCCAGAAAAUCAGUAGUCCCAUUUCCAGGUCCAGGGGACUGCAGCUGAGAGGCGAUCAGCAACGUUGGGGUUCUCCAAGAACCUCUGAAAGCUCUCUCAGAAGGGGAAAGCAUGAACACAGCCCCCAUGACCACAGAUGACGCAGCCGAGUUUCCCACUUUUGGGGAAAUUGCAGGGGUCAGCACGUCUGGAGUGCAGUGGAUAAGCCUCACCCCAGGAAGACCACUUUCGUGAUCACGGCAUCUCCCCUGCCAGUUGGAUGUCAACUCGCUUCACCUGUUCCAGGCCUUACUACCCUCCUUCAGACGGUCAGUGAUCUGCAUUUUAGCUCUUGGCACUGUCAUCCCACCAGAGAAGCAGUCAGGGACCUUGGACUCAGCCCCGCCCACAUCCACUCCACCUGCGAGCUCUGCCGACGCCACCCCACAAACCUCUCUGGGACAGUGCUCCCACCUCCCCACUCCACGCCACCAUCACUGCCCACUGAGAUGACAGUAAAGCCCCCACCCAUCAGCCCCCGGCCUGGAAGCCCUUUCAGAAUUGCAGUGGGAACCCUUCCCUGCCUAACCCACCAGCGGCCCCCCUUUGCUGUUGGGAUUUGGAAUAAAGCCCUUAACAUGCCCCCCGUGCCCUGCCUCUCACAAACUGCCCUGGACUCCUGUGCCCCUACCCUGUGCUCUUGAAUUUCCCUCUCAAAAGGGUUUUGUGAGUGUUGGCCUCAGCCUCCAGUGCCUCUCUCCCCGCUCUCCCGGGUCAUUUCCUUCUCUUUCUGCCAGGGAAACUUUCCGGAGUCCCCAUACUCACUCGGGUCUUCCAGUUAGAUGCUCUCAAUUCCUUCCUGGCUCAUAUGGUGGUCAUCUAGCACGCGGCUGGGCAUGCGUUCUGCUAACCUCUGGCUCUUCUGAUGCCAUGUAGGCGCCCCAGGGCAGGCACUGGUGUGGUUUUGCCCGUCCUUAUAUUCCCAGCGCCCAGCACAUGUCAUUAAGACAAGUUUGGAACAAGUGCCUGUCUUGGGGAAGUUAUUUCCUUCUCCAAGCCUCAGUGUAUCUAUCAAAUAGCCCUGCUUUCCCUGCAGGCUGUCACAAGCCUACAAAAUCCCCCAAACAAACACCCGCAGAAUGACAGAUGGCCUCCCUGCCCUGGUAGUGUCACUCUUCAAAUCAACUUCCCAGGCCCUGGAGGCAGGCGGCAGCAGGCUGUCAGCCUUCAGAGUCCCCAGAGUGAGACAGGGUCUCAUUUUGUCACCCAGGCUGGAGUGCAGUGGUCUGCUCCAGGCUCACUGCAACCUCGACCUCCCAGGCUCAAGCAAUCCUCCCACCUCAGCCUCCAGGAGUAGCUGGGAUUACAGGCACAUACCACUAUACUCGGCUACUUUUUAAAAUUUUUGGUAGAGAUGGGGUCCUGCUGUGUUGCCCAGGCUGGUUGUGAACUCCUGGGCUCAAGUGAUCCUCCCACCUCAGCCUCCCAAAGUGCUGGGAUUACAGGCUGGGCCACUGUGCCUGGCCUCUUUUAUAAUUUUCUUAACAUUUUAUCUUCUCUAGCUUACUUUAUUGCAAGCGUGUACUAUAUAAUACAUAUUGACAAAAUAUGUGGAAAUUGUUCUCAGUGAGGCAUCCAGUCAACAGUAGGCUAUCAGUAGUUAGGUUUUUGGAAAGUAAAAAGUUAUACAUAGAUCUUUGACUGCGUGUGGGGUCAGCACCCCUAACCCCUGUGUUGUUCAAGGGUCAACUGUGCUCUUUUGCAAGCUUUGAAGCAUGUGAACGCCAGCACCUACCCUGUUCUUGAGGAAAUCCAGCGUUCCCUUGAUACUUGACCUUAUCUAAACAGGACUGCCACGGAGACUUUACUCUGCAAAAGCAACAAUUUCAUCUUCACAAAGUUUCAAAUGGGAAGCUGGGCUAAGAGCUGCGCGGUUCCUGAGCCUCUCGUUCCGGGAGAAUCUUGGAGGUUCAAGGCCUUGCUUGCCUGAGAGGUGCUGAGCAGUGGCACAGGGUCAUUGCUCGCUGUGUUAACGCGUGAGUGAGUGAACAGUGAACACCUGCAAGGUUAAUACUGCACUGGUUAAAGAAUUUCAAUUAAAAUGAAAUGAAGCCAUUUUAAAUCCAUCAAAUUCAUUCAUUCAUUCAUAAUAAAGUGAUUAAUCAUUAUAAAGAGAGCAAUAGUAGUUUA
rnacentral:lncRNA from 10 species